ACAACAACAAUGUUAUUUUUAAAUAAAGAAAUCAUUGUCAUAGAUGAAUUCAAUCAAACAUCAUCGCUCUUUUUACUUGUCUCGGUACCACGGUCGUUUUCUUUUGUUCUUAGGAAUUAAUCGCUGCCCAUCGAACAUUUCAGCAACCUAGAGACAUCAAAUCAAAGAACCUGAAUUGCUCUAUAUCGUUGCCGGAGAAGAAAAAGCUCUUCGUCGUACUUUUUGGCGCCCAACGUGGGGCAAGUGAUUAAUCUAAAAUUGUCGUUCUCAGUCCGUGGAAUAUUCUAAAAUUGUCGUUGAAGUACAAAUUAAAAUAAAAGUGUACGGUCGUAUUGUGAAGUGGAAAUUGUGGUUCUAUGAUAAAAGCAAUAUCUAGUGCUACAGAAAUAAAAAAUUUGUGGUUCAAAUAAAAAACUUUUGUGCAACAAAAAUAAAAUUAAACAUUAAAAAAACUGUGAGAAAACAUAUAAAAUCAGGAGACAUAUAUAAAAAACUGUUGAACAAAUUUUUGGUGACGUACCUAUUACAAAUCUAUUUUUAAAAAACCUAUUACAAACAUUAUAGAAAUUAUUCGUUUUAUCGGCUAAAUAGAAACAGUUUUUACUGAAAAAUAAUUAAAUACAUAGUGUGUCUAAAAUUUUAACGCUAAUUUUUAUAUACAAAAAUAGAAAAAUAUAUUCGGUUCCAGUACAUAAGUAAUAUAAACGUUUCUUUACACCAAAUUUUUUGUCGUUCUCAAGAUUGCGGUACAUAUGUAUAUAAAGUUAAUACAUAAAAGCGUGUAUAUAAAAAUUUUAGCGUAAAAUUUUUGGCGUUGGUUACAGUGCUCUACGAUACAUUGUGUCAUCCAUUUUGUAAAAUAUUUUUGAACCUUUUUGGCUGACUUAACCUUAAUUUUAAAAAAUGUAUGAUGGCUGAUGAGGUUAAGUAGCAACGGGAUAACACUAAGAAGAGCAUUAUCCGCAUCAAGAACCAAAUCGAAGCCAAUGGAAGAGGAGAAGGUUUUAUAGUCGUAUUUUAAGCAGAUACUGACGUAUCAAACCAAAAUUGAAAAAUACGAUCCCGAGGACAAUGUUAGGCCCGAAAUCGAGGAUUUGUACAUCUCAGCUAAAAUGAAUAUUCAGUCGCAGCUUGGUGAAGAUGUUCAUAAUUCAACACUGUCUGAGUCCACCAUUUGUUUCCCAGCCACAAAUUGGCACAGCUGAAAUUGCCCACAUUUAGUGGGCACCAGGCGGAUUGUGGGAGGCGGUGUCAAAUCGGCCAAAUCGCAACAGCUAUGAUUGAGAUGACUUUGAAGCUCUUACACCAGGCCACUUCUUGAUAGGUGCUCCCCUCCGUAGUUUGCCAGAACGUGAUUUCCCUACAAAGGAGAUUAACAAACUUGAAUAUUGGAAUGAUGGCGCAAGCAACAAUUCUGAAAGAAGUGGUCCCAUUUUACUGGUCCAAGUGGACUCGCAACAAAUGGUCCCAGUGGACUCACAACAAAUAGACUAGAUCCAACUCUAAUAUUGCUAAUGGUUCCCUAGUAAUCAUCAAAGAAGAUAAUUUAACCCCGCAGCAUUGGCUCAUGGGUAAAAUCAUCAACAUUGUUAGUGGAAGAGAUGAUCGUGUUUGAGUUGUUGACAUCAAAACUACAAAAGGAGUUAUACGUCGCCCUAUCCAUAGACUGGCUCUUCUAUCUUCUUGAAAGUGUCCUUUCAAUGGGGCCGGAAUGUUAGGUCACCGUAUAAUAACUAAUAACAUUAUUAUUUUGUUUCGUUUAAGUUUUCCAUUUUUUAUUGUAUUUAAAUUUAUUCAUAAUUUUGGCUCACUGUUGCCACUGUAAUUUGUCAUUUUUUUAGCUCAUACUAACCACUGUUGCACUAAGUAUAUCGUUGCCGGUGAAGAAAAAGCUCUUCAUCUUACACACUUAAAAGCAAAAAUUAUAAAGAAAACACAUUUUUUAGAUAUGUAUCUACUGCAAUUUUUUUAACUCUUAAAUUAAAAAAAUUAAG
rnacentral:misc_RNA from 1 species